GAAGAUCUCCUGAAUGCUCCAGGAGAGACUUAUGCUGUUACCUUGUCUGAGAAAGGCACUUACACUUUCUACUGUUCCCCUCACCAGGGAGCUGGCAUGGUGGGAAAGGUGACAGUUAACUAAACUCCAAGUGGGGGUUAACAGUCAUAUCAUCUCAUGUUCCUCUUCUAUUUUUCAGUAAGGUAGGAGGGUUCAUAAAUCAUAAUGAGUAAGCGUAUGGUGUGAACCUAACUUGUAUGAUGCCCUUGUGUUUUCUUUUAUAUAAUUUGACACUUGUAGUUUUGCUAUGGCAUUAUUUGUGUGAUUUUUGUUUCUUUUGUCUUUUAUUAGCUUGGG
rnacentral:misc_RNA from 1 species